rnacentral:rRNA from 1 species
UUUUUAGGGGAAGGUGUGGUUUAAAGGAUGUUCCGCCUAUUAAUUUACUUUUGUUAUGUUGGUGUAUAUCUGGUUUAAUAUUAUUGUUUAAUAAUUUAAUUUGUGAAGGUGAUUAGUUAAGCCAAGUCUAUGUGCUGCUUAUAAAAGUAUUCAUGCGUUACAUUAAUAAAAAUAUAAUUGUAAAAUUGUAUAAUUUAGGACUUAAUAGUAAUAUUUAAUUAGUUUGUAAAUGUGAAGAAAGUUUAGCUCAU